CAAGAUUGGUGACAGAAUUUUAACUGAGUUUGAAUAAUUUUUUCCAAGAAGAUUUACCUCAUAAAACUUACAAAUUGGAUUUAAGAAUCAGGUGUGUGUGUGUGUGUGUGUGUGUGUGUGUGUGUUUUGAUUAUUAUGAAGUAGUGGGCAAUCAAAGACGUGAUGAAAGAUCAGAGGAACAUGGAUCUGACUUCA
rnacentral:sRNA from 1 species